UGGGGAAUAUUGCACAAUGGGCGCAAGCCUGAUGCAGCCAUGCCGCGUGUGUGAAGAAGGCCUUCGGGUUGUAAAGCACUUUCAGCUGGGCGGAAGGCGUUAAGGUUAAUAACCUUGGCGAUUGACGUUACCCGCAGAAGAAGCACCGGCUAACUCCGUGCCAGCAGCCGCGGUAAUACGGAGGGUGCAAGCGUUAAUCGGAAUUACUGGGCGUAAAGCGCACGCAGGCGGUCUGUCAAGUCGGAUGUGAAAUCCCCGGGCUCAACCUGGGAACUGCAUUCGAAACUGGCAGGCUAGAGUCUUGUAGAGGGGGGUAGAAUUCCAGGUGUAGCGGUGAAAUGCGUAGAGAUCUGGAGGAAUACCGGUGGCGAAGGCGGCCCCCUGGACAAAGACUGACGCUCAGGUGCGAAAGCGUGGGGAGCAAACAGG
rnacentral:rRNA from 1 species